rnacentral:tRNA from 1 species
ACGGGAUUGAUGAAAUGGUAGACGUGAGGGCCUUAAAAUCCCUUGGGGGUGACCCGUGCCGGUUCGAGUCCGGUAUCCCGUACCA